CUACGGGACGCUCCAGUGAGGAAUAUUGCACAAUGGGGGGAACCCUGAUGCAGCAACGCCGCGUGGAGGAUGACGCAUUUCGGUGUGUAAACUCCUUUUAUAUGUCAAGAAAAUGACGGUAGCAUAUGAAUAAGCACCGGCUAACUCCGUGCCAGCAGCCGCGGUAAUACGGGAGGGUGCAAGCGUUACUCGGAAUCACUAGGCGUAAAGGACGCGUAGGCGGGUUGGAAAGUCAGGUGUGAAAUCCUACAGCUUAACUGUAGAACUGCACUUGAAACUUGUAAUCUAGAGUAUGGGAGGGGGAGAUGGAAUUAGUGGUGUAGGGGUAAAAUCCGUAGAUAUCACUAGGAAUACCUAAAGCGAAGGCGAUCUCCUGGAACAUUACUGACGCUAAGGCGUGAAAGCGUGGGGAGCAAACAGGAUUAGAUACCCGUGUAGUC
rnacentral:rRNA from 1 species